GAUGAACGCUGGCGGCGUGCCUAAUACAUGCAAGUCGAGCGAACGGACGAGAAGCUUGCUUCUCUGAUGUUAGCGGCGGACGGGUGAGUAACACGUGGAUAACCUACCUAUAAGACUUGGAUAACUUCGGGAAACCGGAGCUAAUACCGGAUAAUAUUUUGAACCGCAUGGUUCAAAAGUAAAAGACGGUCUUGCUGUCACUUAUAGAUGGAUCCGCGCUGCAUUAGCUAGUUGGUAAGGUAACGGCUUACCAAGGCAACGAUGCAUAGCCGACCUGAGAGGGUGAUCGGCCACACUGGAACUGAGACACGGUCCAGACUCCUACGGGAGGCAGCAGUAGGGAAUCUUCCGCAAUGGGCGAAAGCCUGACGGAGCAACGCCGCGUGAGUGAUGAAGGUCUUCGGAUCGUAAAACUCUGUUAUUAGGGAAGAACAUAUGUGUAAGUAACUGUGCACAUCUUGACGGUACCUAAUCAGAAAGCCACGGCUAACUACGUG
rnacentral:rRNA from 1 species